GUAAAGGUUUCGACAGGGGUCAUGCAGGUGGAGAAGCUAUCCGACGCCGAUCGUCAAACGGCAAAAUUAAAAAUAAACGCUAACAACAAUAGAGUAGCACUGGCAGCAUAAUUGCCGCCCGUCGUCUGGAGGACACCCGCAUCCUGCAGCUCCGGCGUUAUGAAAGCGGGAAACGACACGGGGUAAGCUUUGCCCCCGCGGGCGUAUCAUGAAGCUACUAAAGCAGGUGGAUUGACUGUUUUCCGCCUGUGGAGGGAACGGGAGUGAUCCGAAAAAACCGUCUAUGAUAGUAGAAGGACAUUGAAUUGGCUUUUGGACAGGGGUUCGAUUCCCCUCUGAUCCACCA
rnacentral:tmRNA from 1 species